rnacentral:rRNA from 1 species
GGGUGAGAAUCCCGUGCGAUGAGAUGUCCCAGACCUAUGUAAAGUUCCUUCGAAGAGUCGAGUUGUUUGGGAAUGCAGCUCUAAGUGGGUGGUAAAUUCCAUCUAAAGCUAAAUAUUGGCGAGAGACCGAUAGCGAACAAGUACAGUGAUGGAAAGAUGAAAAGAACUUUGAAAAGAGAGUGAAAAAGUACGUGAAAUUGUUGAAAGGGAAGGGCUUGAGAUCAGACUUGGUAUUUUGUAUGUUACUCUCUCGGGGGUGGCCUCUACAGUUUACCGGGCCAGCAUCAGUUUGAGCGGUAGGAUAAGUGCAAAGAAAUGUGGCACUGCUUCGGUAGU